GACGAACCGAGCGAACGUUGUUCGGAAUCACUGGGCUUAAAGGGCGCGUAGGCGGGUGCUCAAGUCCGGGGUGAAAUCCUCCAGCUCAACUGGAGAACUGCCUCGGAUACUGGGUGUCUCGAGUGUGGUAGGGGUAUGCGGAACUAUCGGUGGAGCGGUGAAAUGCGUUGAUAUCGAUAGGAGCUCCGGUGGCGAAGGCGGCAUACUGGACCACUACUGACGCUGAUGCGCGAAAGCCAGGGGAGCAAACGGG
rnacentral:rRNA from 1 species